UACAGAGGUCCCGAGCGUUGUUCGGAUUCACUGGGCGUAAAGGGUGCGUAGGUGGUGAGGUAAGUCGGAUGUGAAAUCUCCGGGCUCAACCCGGAAAUGGCAUUGGAAACUACCUUGCUGGAGGAUUUGAGGGGGGGAUUGGAAUACUUGGUGUAGCAGUGAAAUGCGUAGAUAUCAAGUGGAACACCAGUGGCGAAGGCGAAUCCCUGGAAAAUACCUGAACACUGAGGCACGAAAGCUAGGGGAGCAAACAG
rnacentral:rRNA from 1 species